CCCCUCUCAGGGUUGCACCUGGAGAGUUUCCAGUACUCUGCCAGUCUCAGCUACAGGAGGGAAUGUCAAACAGAGGAAUACCCAUUCCAUUCCUAGCUUGGGCAGUGGUUAGCGAGUAAAAGGCAAUCUGCUACAAAU